rnacentral:tRNA from 1 species
GCGCCGGUAGCUCAGCUGGAUAGAGCACCAGACUACGAAUCUGGGGGUCAGGGGUUCGAAUCCUCUCCGGCGCA